GAUAGUAAUUUUUGUGUACUGCGUUUCCUUUAGCACUUCGAUCUAAUCAACCUGGCGCAACCACACACAAUAGGAUAAAGCAGCUGCAGCCAAUAAUCACGUCUAAUUAGACAUUUUCACGGGCACGAGAACAUUUUUGCACUUCGUUCCUCUGGACGACUUAGGUUGUACAGAAAAAAGGAAGUGUAGGCUAAGUAUACCUAGUGGCGUUUUAUCUAGACACGUAACUGAACUGGCACAAACAAGAAUUUCCCCAGCGGACUUCAAAUGCCCUUUCGAUCUGCGACUGCUCCUCGCGCUGGAAGGGAAAACCAGCCACGAGACACACUUAUGCAGAACAGGCACCAUCCUUCAUUCCUGAGGACCGAGAGACUGUUGGACAUAUUGUACAGAUAAUGCUUUCCAAGUCUGAGAGAGAGCAUGCUUCUGUUUAGUUUCACAGACGCGAAACGGAAGACAAAGGGUAUUGGCAAUAUUAUUACAAUUUACAACUCUCAAGAGCGGCUGAAGAAAGGAGCAAAUCAGACCCUGGAGAAAGAAAAGAGCAAAGUGUUUGGCCCCCUCAUGAUGAAUCAAGGAUAACAUUUCACUGAAAGUGAGAAAUUACAGGGCUGAUGGGAAGGUGUUGCAGAUGUUUCAGAGGAGACACAGGCAGGGGAGGUCAUCCAACUGGCAGAGGCUUGGUGAUAAUGAAAAGGCACAGCCCUGGACCAUAGUUUUGCAGUUGGAGCACCCCUCUGGGAAGGCUGAGGUUUCUGGUGCUGGUCCCACCCACUGCCGUUCCUGCAGGUGCCUGGCACGGUGAGAGCCGUCUCCCCUCCCCCCAACACUGACCCCGCCAGUUCUGAGCAAAGUGAUGGAUUCUCUUCUCCUCCUCCGCCUCCCAGCAUCGGGUCCGUUACCCAAGAAGCGCUCACUCCGGUCUGAAUGCAUCCUGUAAGAGGAGCAGGGGAUCUCCCUGAACAUGGCCAGCCGGGCCUUCAAACACAACAGAAACCAGGAAGGCUUAGGGGACUCACCAGCGCAUAUACAAGGCUGUGUGAAAGAGAAUAAGUGACUUUGGACGCUUUUGCAAAUGGUGGAAUGGACUUUCUCAGGGAGGUCGGGACUGCCCACUCCCUGGUCAUUUUGUGAUGCAGAUUGAAGACCCAUUGCAUCUUGAUGCAUAAUAAGGACAGAGCCCAAUUACCACUUAUUCUCGUUUCAGUAAAUAGAAGAUCAGGAGGGAUUUGAUUGUGUUUUAAAUAUUAACUGAUUAAUAAAUUGGAGCAUAGAUGCUAAGGUCUAUCGAAAGAGUGGCGUUCUGAAAUUAGUUUUGAGUUAAUACCGCAAUAUGAAAUAAUGUCUUUCUAACAGUAGAGCUGUCAAUGAAUGCUAAGCUAUAAUCAGUCUGGACACCCACCUUUAUCUACAUCUGUUCCACCCCACAACACUUGUCUCUCUUGCAAUUAUUUUAUGAAUAAAGAUUAUAAUUGCAUGCUUUAUGGUUCUAUACAGACAUUAGCUAUAUGAAUCUGAUUUCUAUUUAUGGUUCUAUGGUUGGCAUAUGUUCACUUACAUUUAGUGAAUGCUGAUGCUGCACUUUGCCUCUCUGGUCUCGGAAUGUUAUUAGCCAGGUCUGGCUCUAUUGCUCACAUAACUCUGGUGGAUGCACUUAUGUUCUCUUUCAUUGUGAGUCUGCCUGGAUAAGAACAUCUGCAAAAUUAAUGUGAUGUAAUGCCUAAAUGAGAAGAGAAAUGGUGGGGUGGGGACCAGUGUUUGCAAUAGUGUGCAUGUAUAUCUGCACAUACCUGCCGGAGUUCAAAAGAGAAUAAAUGUACCACCAUGUUUGUUUUAUCACUUGGCAAGAUAGUAGUUCCUAUUUUACUUGAAUGUAUUGUAAACUUAAAAUGAUAGAACUCACCAAAAAGCCUCUCCCUGUGUUCUGUAUUUCAG